rnacentral:lncRNA from 1 species
CUGAACCCGGGGAGUCUUCACAUGUAGAUGGAUGGAUAGGUCUGAUUUUUCCAACUGAAGCACACUUGCAAGGGUCAGCACAAAGCCAGAAACCCAGUAGGUUCUGCCAGCCGCAGCAGCCUGUGCCCAGCAGGAGACCUGGUUUUGGGCCUGGGGUGACUUUUGUUUACACUGUUGUCUUACUUGGCUGGGAGCUCUCCCUGGGAGAGUGAAGAACUGAUGCAGAGAAAUGGCCGAGUGCGGGAGAAAUGGGUUUCCACCAAAGCGAUUUACCCAAUUUUCUUUUUCUGUAUAUCCUUAUACAUUUUAAAGGCAGAUUUAUUGCUAGUAAAAGUGCUGGCUGGACAAAGCGCUCUCAUGCUGUGCGUUUGCUUUUUCUUCUCUUGAAUGUUUUUAAACCUCUCUAGGUGUUUUGUCUUUUUGACAUAGACUGGCAGAGAAACCUAGGCAUCCUGGAUUCCCGGUUCACUGCUGUAGGGGCUUUGCCGGCUUGCUGGCUGCCCAGCCUGGCCAACUCCAGCCCUGCAGGGCCCACUCAGCGGGCGUACAGCACCAGAUGGAGAGAGGGAAGGCAGACCCAGCAAGAAUCCUCACGAAGAGGAGCUAGCAGCCCCGGGAAGAGAAAGAUCGUGCAGGACCAGUUGGACAAGAGCCCAGCUCUGAGUAACUCCCUGCAUUCAGGGAAAAUAAAAUCACAAAUGAGAACAGCAGGGGGCCAAGGACCAGCUGGAGACAAAGGGGUGUUGUUAGCUUCGGGGUGGGGGCUGUGAGACAAGCAAGGCUCUAGUGAGAUGUUCCAAAGUCUGGCCUGCCAUGGACAGCUGCCACCCGAGCUGCAGGCCUGGAAUGUUGUCACAAGCUCAGCGAGCCAUGCUGUCUGCCUCAGCCCAGGACCCGGAAAGACUGAUGAGACAAGAAAGGCCUUGGGCUUCCUCUUGCCUCCUGCAUCUUUAGCCUUCCCUGAACUGCCCUGGCAACUUAGCAGAUAAGAAGGAGGAGUAAAGGAGGAGUAAGGAGGGGAAAUGGUAUUAUUUCCUUCUGUGAGGAAGCAACUUACUGCGCACAGAAGUUCCCAGAAUGUUUACUCAUCCUGGUCCAAUUUCUCCAUGGUACGUGGCGCAGGAGGCUGGGUGUCAAGGCUAGUGACUCUGUCCAGCCCACUAAUGCCACAGUCAGGCACUCUGGCCUCGGGGAAAUCUAGGAGAUUACUCUGUAGCUAAUUAGGAAUUGCUCUUGAGGAUCAAUACGAUAGUUUUGAUUUCCUGUGACCAGAGCCAGAAAAUUAGCUCCUCUCUGAGAGUAUGGAUGGUCUGUGUGGCUGCUUUGCUAAUAGAAAGCUACAUUUUUCUUGACUAGAGUGUUUUUCAAAUCAGCAGCUUCUAGAUAUGGAGAAUCAUCAACUUGCGCCUGUCUUCCCUAAAACACAGUCACAGGCUCAACACUGUCAUGGGAGGAAGGAAACUAAUUGAACCAACAGAUGGGAAACUAAAGACACACGGCUUUUCAUUUCGUGGUUAAAAACUCCACCCCUGAUUUCUAAUGCCAAAAAUGGCAUCUUGGCUUUGGUAUCUCCCAGUGCCUGGGUCUUAUUUUUAUUGCAUUGUUUAUGUCUGUGCGUGUGCGUGAGUGUUUAUUUUUGAAAUCUCAGACACGUUUUACAGGAAGAGUACUGGUAUUUCAGAAGUCACUGAUGUUUUGGGUUAUCGUAUACUAGGGAUGUGGGUCAUUGCUGAACAACCUGACAUAAACAUCAUCAAGCUUGCAAACCUGUUUUCAAGUGUGAUAUUCUAAAGCAAUAUUUAUAGCAAAAUUAUGACCUCAAGGCAUCUAAAUGUGAUCCAUUUUUAAAUCUCAUUUUUUCCCUCUGAAUCCUUCAAUCUAAUUAGGCUCACAUCAGUAUAUUAUUACGGAGAGUAAUCAUUCCUUUCUUCUAAUAACAUUCAUGGAUAAUUUUAUUUCUCAUUUCCAGCCUCCUACUCCUGUGGUGUAAUUAGUGUCGUUGGCACCUCGUGAUGCUCAGAAUGAGUUGCAGCUGCUAAUUGCUAAUUGAAAAAUUAGAAACUCAGUUAGAAAAAGGAUCUAAUUAAAAUGAAAUUAGAUAAAAUCCCUUCAAACCAGCUCUCCUCUCUCUCACUUUUCUUUGUUUUUCUUUUCCCCUUCUGCCUUCUUUUUUUUUUUUUUUCCUGCAGAACGAUUAGCACUUGCAAAAUAUGUGUAAUUGCUGAAAGCAAAAUACCUUUCCUUAGUGGGCUAUACAACGGCCUUUAAGAGGCAGUUAGGGAGGGGUUUUUAAAAAUUGAAUUAAACUUCAGAACGUGUGCUUUCUUUCUACUCCUGAUCUAUCCAAAAGUAUGAAUUUGACCUUAUCAAUAAGAUCUCUGGGCUGUCUCGGAAGGACAAAUGUAUGGUCAGCCCUGUGUGGUUUUUCUGUGUGUUUGGAAGAAUUGUUGCCAGCCUCACGAUUGUGAGGGGUAGGGAUCUACUCACUUUCUUGCUGCAAAUCUAUUCCCAUCCUCUUCUCUAUUGCAUCAUCUCACCUGACAAAUAAUUAUCUAGGAAAUGCUCAGCCCUCUAGGAGAUACAAGUAUAAACCAAGGCUGCUACUGUCUCCAAUGUACUUAAAACCUAUUGAGAUGUCUAGACAGAUAAGCAUAAGAACAGACUAAGAGAAUAUAUAAUCAAAUGCAAAAUAGCAGUUCAGAUAUAUGUGAUAUUUAGGUCAAGUCUUCAAAUGUUUUUGAGUCCCUCCUUAAUACAUACCAAGCACUGUAGUAGAAUCUGGUCAUAAAAAACACAUACUACAGGCCGGGUGCUGUGGCUCACGCCUGUAAUGCCAGUGCUUUGGGAGGCUUAGGUGGGCAGAUCACCUGAGGUCAGGAGUUCAAGACCAGCCUGGCCAACGUGGCAAAACCCUGUCUCUACUAAAAAAUACAAAAAUUGGCCGAGACGGGCGGAUCACGAUGUCAGGAGAUCGAGAUCAUCCUAGCUAACCCGGUGAAACCCCGUCUCCACUAAAAAAUACAAAAAACUAGCCGGGCGAGGUGGCGGGCGCCUGUAGUCCCAGCUACUCGGGAGGCUGAGGCAGGAGAAUGGCGUAAACCCGGGAGGCGGAGCUUGCAGUGAGCUGAGAUCCGGCCACUGCACUCCAGCCUGGGCGACAGAGCGAGACUCCGUCUCAAAAAAAAAAAAAAAAAAAAUUAGCCAGGUGGGGUAGUGGGUGCCUGUAAUCCCAGCUACUCAGGAGGCUGAGGCAGGGAGAAUUGCUUGAACCCGGGCGGCGGAGGUUGCAGUGAACUGAGAUCACACCACUACACUCCAACCUGGGCAACAUCUCAAACAAAACAAAACAAAACCAAAAAAACAUACUACAUUGCUCCUACUCUCCAGGAGUGUAUAUCUGGAUAUAUGUGAAUAAGUAAUUUAUAACAUUAUAUGAUGAAGGCAAUGAUAGCAAAUGCAGAAGCUGCCAAAUUAAUGCAGAAAUAUGGGUAAUGAGUUUUGGUAGGCCAGAGGGAGAGGACUUUAAGGGACGGUUUAUGUAGAGGAAGUUACAC